GGGUGAUAGCGUGCCUUUUGUAGAAUGAACCGGCGAGUUACGAUUUGUUGCAAGGUUAAGCGGAAAAAGCGGAGCCGUAGCGAAAGCGAGUCUGAAUAGGGCGCAUAAGUAACAGGUCGUAGACCCGAAACCAGGUGAUCUACCCAUGUCCAGGAUGAAGGUAAGGUAAUACUUACUGGAGGUCCGAACCCACGCACGUUGAAAAGUGCGGGGAUGAGGUGUGGGUAGCGGAGAAAUUCCAAUCGAACUUGGAGAUAGCUGGUUCUCUCCGAAAUAGCUUUAGGGCUAGCCUCGAGGUAAAGAGUCAUGGAGGUAGAGCACUGUUUGGACUAGGGGCCCUUCUCGGGUUACCGAAUUCAGAUAAACUCCGAAUGCCAUGUACUUAUACUCGGGAGUCAGACUGCGAGUGAUAAGAUCCGUAGUCGAAAGGGAAACAGCCCAGACCACCAGUUAAGGUCCCCAAAUAUAUGUUAAGUGGAAAAGGAUGUGGGGUUGCUUAGACAACCAGGAUGUUGGCUUAGAAGCAGCCACCAUUGAAAGAGUGCGUAAUAGCUCACUGGUCGAGUGACCCCGCGCCGAAAAUGUACCGGGGCUAAACAUAUUACCGAAACUGUGGAUGAACCUCUUUAGAGGUUCGUGGUAGGAGAGCGUUCUAAGGGCGGUGAAGUCAGACCGGAAGGACUGGUGGAGCGCUUAGAAGUGAGAAUGCCGGUAUGAGUAGCGAAAGAAGGGUGAGAAUCCCUUCCACCGAAUAUCUAAGGUUUCCUGAGGAAGGCUCGUCCGCUCAGGGUUAGUCGGGACCUAAGCCGAGGCCGAUAGGCGUAGGCGAUGGACAACAGGUAGAGAUUCCUGUACCAGUGCUAAUUGUUUAACCGAUGGGGUGACACAGAAGGAUAGGGAAUCGCACGAAUGGAAAUGUGCGUCCAAGCAGUGAGUGUGAGAAGUAGGCAAAUCCGCUUCUCGCGAAGCAUGAGCUGUGAUGGGGAAGGAAAUUAAGUACGGAAGUUCCUGAUUUCACGCUGUCAAGAAAAGCCUCUAGGAAGAGUAGUACUGCCCGUACCGCAAACCGACACAGGUAGAUGAGGAGAGAAUCCUAAGGUGAGCGAGAGAACUCUCGUUAAGGAACUCGGCAAAAUGACCCCGUAACUUCGGGAGAAGGGGUGCUCUAUUAGGGUGCAAGCCCGAGAGAGCCGCAGUGAAUAGGCCCAGGCGACUGUUUAGCAAAAACACAGGUCUCUGCAAAACCGUAAGGUGACGUAUAGGGGCUGACGCCUGCCCGGUGCUGGAAGGUUAAGAGGAGUGCUUAGCUUCGGCGAAGGUACGAAUUGAAGCCCCAGUAAACGGCGGCCGUAACUAUAACGGUCCUAAGGUAGCGAAAUUCCUUGUCGGGUAAGUUCCGACCCGCACGAAAGGCGCAACGAUCUGGGCACUGUCUCAACGAGAGACUCGGUGAAAUUAUAGUACCUGUGAAGAUGCAGGUUACCCGCGACAGGACGGAAAGACCCCGUGGAGCUUUACUGCAACCUGAUAUGGAAUGUUUGUACCGCUUGUACAGGAUAGGUAGGAGCCGAAGAGACGUGUGCGCUAGCAUACGAGGAGGCAAUGGUGGGAUACUACCCUGGCUGUAUGACCAUUCUAACCCGCCACGCUUAGCGCGUGGGGAGACAGUGUCAGGUGGGCAGUUUGACUGGGGCGGUCGCCUCCUAAAGAGUAACGGAGGCGCCCAAAGGUUCCCUCAGAAUGGAUGGAAAUCAUUCGCAGAGUGUAAAGGCACAAGGGAGCUUGACUGCGAGACUGACAAGUCGAGCAGGGACGAAAGUCGGGCUUAGUGAUCCGGUGGUUCCGCAUGGAAGGGCCAUCGCUCAACGGAUAAAAGCUACCCCGGGGAUAACAGGCUUAUCUCCCCCAAGAGUCCACAUCGACGGGGAGGUUUGGCACCUCGAUGUCGGCUCGUCGCAUCCUGGGGCUGUAGUCGGUCCCAAGGGUUGGGCUGUUCGCCCAUUAAAGCGGCACGCGAGCUGGGUUCAGAACGUCGUGAGACAGUUCGGUCCCUAUCCGUCGCGGGCGCAGGAAAUUUGAGAGGAGCUGUCCUUAGUACGAGAGGACCGGGAUGGACACACCGCUGGUGUACCAGUUGUUCCGCCAGGAGCAUCGCUGGGUAGCUAUGUGUGGCAGGGAUAAACGCUGAAAGCAUCUAAGCGUGAAGCCCCCCUCAAGAUGAGAUUUCCCAUUUCUUCGGAAAGUAAGAUCCCUGAAAGAUGAUCAGGUAGAUAGGUUUGGAGUGGAAGUGUAGCGAUACAUGGAGCGGACAAAUACUAAUCGAUCGAGGACUUAACCAAAA
rnacentral:rRNA from 1 species